AAUGUUAAUGUUGUUUUUCACUUUCCCACUAGUAUGCACAACCUACAGCCUGCUGUUGCUCAGGACAAAUACAACUCAGUUGAUUUAGAUUCACAACUGCAGGAACAGGAACGCAUCAUUACCAUAUCAUAUGCUUUGGCUUCUGAAGCUUCUCAGCGGAGCAAGGAGGUAGCAGCUCACCAGUUGACCUACCCAUCUAAAGCACCCUCACCUUCUGUACCACAGCCACCUAACUCCCCCUUAAGCAAUGGAUUUCACUACACAUUUGUCUAAACACCUUAAAACCAAAGCAGUAACUGAGCAUUGACAUAAGAAUCAAACCAACAACUGUGUGACACCAGAACAUGGAAGAAAGCAUGUCUUCAUUGCACCAGCUACACAGAAGAUACUCAUCAGCUGAUCACAAUUUUUUCAAAAUUCAGACAAUAAUAGAGGGAUUUUCUAUGAAAAACAAAUUAUAAAUCAUUUUAAUUUGGUAUUGUUUUAGUUCACACUUUUUAUAUGAAUACAUGGCACUUUUAAUAUACUCUGUAAAUUACUGAAGUAUUUUUAGAAACAAUAUAUUAGAUUUUUUUAAGCAAGGGCUGAGUUCAUUUUAAAAAGCUGCUUUCACAGACUUUACAAAAUAUUGCUUCACCCUCAAGUUCAAAUGCAUUGUAUAGCCUCUUGACAAAAUGUGAAUUAAAUAAUCUUAGAAGCUCAUCGUGGCAUUUGGAUAAAUCUAAAUCAAGUGAGAAACUUACUGAGAUUUUUUAAAAAUUGAUCACUCUUGUAUGCCCUUUAAAUAAGAAAUAGCAAAGGACUCUUAGCUUGUAAUUCUUAAUAUUAGUAACCAUCAUGUUUGCACAUAAAGAAUGAAAUUAUGGCACUCAGCUACUAACUUCUGUACAUUUUUAAAUUCCAUGUAAUUAUUUUUCAAAUACAGUAUCCAGUGUGUUAGCAUUGACAAUAGCACUGUCCCCAUCAGUAACAAGAAGCUAAAAAAAUUGUUAAAUUAAAAUGACUGGGAAGUAAAAGAAAUUGUAAUUAAAAUAUGUGAUGUAAGCAAUAAAAUAUUAAGAGAAUGUGUGAUUUUAUUAGGAUAUAUAGAGUUUUUUCUCUGUAAUUGUUUUAAUUAAAAGCAAUAUGUGAUCUAUUGCAUUAUCCUGGAAACAACAGAAAUAAUGUAAAGUGGCACUUGCUAAUUUUGUAUGUAAAUUUAACUGGUGCUUAAUUUUGCCAAAACUUCCCAAGUCUGAUGUUUUGCUUGGGUAUAGGAUAAAGAGUUGGCCAGUUACAUAUGAAGAAAAUGAAUUUAAAUUGAUGUUGCUUCUGUAUUUGAAAAAAUUAUAUGUACUCUUUCAGUGUGAGGCAUGAAAAAACGCACAAUCUUAGUUGAAUCCAGUGCUAAGAGAGGAAUGAUUAACAAAUACUUUGCAGUGUUUUGCGAGUUUUAACUUCCGCUUCUUUACUGUAUUCAAAUAAUGGUUUAAAAAGCAAAUGAAUUGAGCUUAAUAUUUGUUUAAAAUUCUUAAAAUAAAAAUUCAUAUUGUAUUUUUCUGAAACUCAAAAGCUAUUCUUAAGAUAUAUAUUUAGAAAAUGCAAUCUAUUUUUAACUAACUCAAUACUGCCAGUGUCAAGUUGUAACAUUUGCCAAAAUAAAUUUGUUUUAUUUUUGCCUUUAUAAAAAUGUUUGAAAAGAAAUUAAAUGAAUAUUUUGCAAGAAAAUGUUAAUUUAAAUAAAAUGUAAUAGUUUGGGGGGAAAUGGUAUAUGUACAGAUUAAAAUAUUAACAU